GACGAACGCUGGCGGCGUGCUUAACACAUGCAAGUCGAACGGAAAGGCCCUGCUUUUGUGGGGUGCUCGAGUGGCGAACGGGUGAGUAACACGUGAGUAACCUGCCCUUGACUUUGGGAUAACUUCAGGAAACUGGGGCUAAUACCGGAUAGGAGCUCCUGCUGCAUGGUGGGGGUUGGAAAGUUUCGGCGGUUGGGGAUGGACUCGCGGGUUAUCAGCUUGCUGGUGGGGUAGUGGCUUACCAAGGCUUUGACCGGUAGCCGGCCUGAGAGGGUGACCGGCCACAUUGGAACUGAGGUACGGACCAGACUGCUACGGGAGGCAGCAGUGGGGAAUAUUGCACAAUGGGCGGAAGCCUGAUGCAGCAACGCCGCGUGCGGGAUGACGGCCUUCGGGUUGUAAACCGCUUUCGCCUGUGACGAAGCGGGAGUGACGGUAAUGGGUAAAGAAGCACCGGCUAACUACGUG
rnacentral:rRNA from 1 species